rnacentral:rRNA from 1 species
UACGUAGGUGGCGAGCGUUGUCCGGAUUUAUUGGGCGUAAAGCGCGCGCAGGUGGUGCGGUAAGUCUGUCGUGAAAUCUCCUGGCUCAACCGGGAGGGGGCGGCGGAGACUGCGGGACUGGAGGGACCUAGAGGCCGGUGGAAUUCCCGGUGUAGUGGUGAAAUGCGUAGAGAUCGGGAGGAACACCUGUGGCGAAGGCGGCCGGCUGGGGGUGCCCUGACGCUGAGGCGCGAAAGCGUGGGGAGCGAGCCGG